CCAAUAUUCAUUGUCAAGAAAACAAAACGAAAUGUGUCCAUUGUCAAGAACUAAGAUCCAAAUCAAUGUUCAUAUUCAUGUACAAUGAGAUGGUUGUUAAAUCAUAGACUGCAAAGGGUUUUAAAGAACUUGGCCCUCUUAGAACUCUUAUCAGUUAUCAUCAUCCGUUGAUCCGCAUGAAGAAUCUGCAGGAACCUGUGAACUAGCAACAUCAGUGCCUUGAUCACUAGCCCCUCUAAAUAUGGAACUGUUCCGCAUCAUGGCAACCAGGUCCUUGGAUGUUUCCCUUAACUCUUGCAAUGCAGAUUUGACUUGGACCAGCUCAGCAUUUACCACAUCCAAAUUUGAUUCAUACUGUUUCUGCAUCACCAUCAACUUCGCUUCAUAGUUUUCUUGCAUGUCUUCCAUCUGGGAACGCAGACUAUCAAUCUCUUCCUAAAGCUUUGUACUGUUAAUCUGCUCUUGCUGUCCAAAAACCUGAUUUCGGGUAGCUCAAAGCCCAUAACCCUUCACCCUUUCAUGAUGAUCUUCCCGUAUAAGUUCAGCGAAGACUUCAUUUUGAAGACUUGUGUCAUAAGAAGAUUCAGAUGUGCCAGCGCAUUCUUCCAUAAGAGUCGUAGCAACCUCCAUGAACUGUUGGGCAUCCUGAUUGAUAUAGGUUCCAUUCUUGCGUUUGUGGGUUACAGCAAAAGACUCAAUAUGUCCAGGCUCUUUUCCACAUUCUUCAACAUAUUCAUCUCUACACCUAGCAAAACUCUUAGAUCCCAUUGUGUGAGGAAUGUUUUGACUUUCCCCUUGCAAGAGAGCUUACUCCUGUCAGAAAACCAACAAUGAACAAGCUUCUUCCAUUGUGAAGGGAGAAUGUUAGGAGCAACCUUGCUCACCAUCUGCUCUUCGGUGCAUCCCUCCACUGUAUAUUUGCAUUUAAGACUGCUGAGUCUUCGAUACAUGGUGAACCGGGUUUAGGCAAGAUUUUCCUGUCGACCAUAAGCCCGCGCCAAUCUAAUAACAUUUGUCUUGAAUGUUGCUGGCAUAACUCUCCAAUCUGUAUAAUUGAGUGGGCAUAAAUAUCCUUUUCUUGCGAUAGUUGCAACCCAUCCACCUAAAAUGCCCCACCUUUUUUCACUGGUUGCCUCAAGUCAUUGCAUCUAAUUAUGAUUUUUCCUCCUCGAGGCAAACUCUACACUUGCUUUGCACGUGUGGGUCCAUAUCUUCUUCUUCUCCUUCCUUGAGCAUCUAAUAUCUCCAACACCUCUGUACAAACUUCCUCAUCGGGAUUCCGAAGUUGAG
rnacentral:misc_RNA from 1 species